AGCAGUGGUUCUAGUCUUGGUUUUUCAGUGUUGGCCUUGAAUGCAGCCUCCUGAAAGUAGGUCAACUCCUCCCCUGGUCCAGCCCCUUAAUUAGCUGCACCAUAUAUAAAGCACCUGUGGCAACAUGGCUGCCUUUUCAGCUUGUCUGCUUGCUGGUUGCCACAUGCUCCUUGCUCUGAGUAGCCCCCUGUCUGCUUCUCUGCCUCUCUGCCUCAUGUGAACUGGUGUCAGGUUUGUUUUUUUCAAAUAUUCUUAACUCACUGCUGAGAUGUGGAGAUAUGCAUGAUUGCCUUAAUGCCAUUUUGUAGUGGUAAGUGCACUGAGACACAAUAGUUUGCACCUGUUGCUGUGAGUUCACGAGUGGUGAGUAAGUUGCACUCCUGGGACACCCUCUUCAAUGUUAGGCUGCCUCCCAUUUAGCUAUUUUGAAAUGACCUUCGAUUGGAAGUGUCCUUUUUAUUAUAAGAUAAACUCUUUAUGCUGUAAUAAACUUUAAUACAUCUUCCUAAAUUGACUAAUUCACCUCCUUACAUCAAUAACUAACACUCCUCUCUUCACAGAUACUUCCAGUCUAAAUCAAUAAAUGUACAUUGUCUUUUGAA